AACGAACGCUGGCGGCAGGCUUAACACAUGCAAGUCGAACGCACCUUUCGGGGUGAGUGGCAGACGGGUGAGUAACGCGUGGGAAUCUACCCUUCUCUACGGGAUAGCUCCGGGAAACUGGAAUUAAUACCGUAUACGUCCUGCGGGAGAAAGAUUUAUCGUGGAAGGAUGAGCCCGCGUUGGAUUAGCUAGUUGGUGGGGUAAAGGCCUACCAAGGCGACGAUCCAUAGCUGGUCUAAGAGGAUGAUCAGCCACAUUGGGACUGAGACACGGCCCAAAAUACUACGGGAGGCAGCAGUGGGGAAUAUUGGACAAUGGGCGCAAGCCUGAUCCAGCCAUGCCGCGUGAGUGAUGAAGGCCCGAGGGUUGUAAAGCUCUUUCAGUGGGGACGAUAAUGACGGUACCCACAGAAGAAGCCCCGGCUAACUUCGUG
rnacentral:rRNA from 1 species